UGCUCAUCCCAGAGUAGGAUGAUAGGAGGGGCAAUGUGGUCAGGUGUUGAGAGCUGACCACAGGCAGCUGCUGCCCAAGGUCAGGGUGAGUUUCAGCUCUCCACCAACAGGCAGCAAGGACUCAUCGAAUGUUUUUUCCCACAGACUCCACCAUCGCCCAUGUUCGACGGGACAGGCCUCCUCCCAUGCAGCAGAUGAGCGACACCACGACGUAUGCCACGGUGACCCACACCCAGACCCGAUAGAGCUGCCACAGGGCAAGGGCACAGGAGCCUUGUCCACAGAUACCUUUGCUCUGUUCAAGAGGGCUUGUGCAGCCAUAACGUGGAGCUGGGGUUGCACUUUGGUCUUCUUUGUUUGUUUUGUUUUUUUUUGUCACAGGGAAGGGCUGUGAGUGUCUAGCCAAGACGAUAUAGGACUCAUACCUCCA
rnacentral:lncRNA from 1 species